rnacentral:rRNA from 1 species
UACGAAGGGGGCUAGCGUUGUUCGGAAUCACUGGGCGUAAAGGGCGCGUAGGCGGCCGAUCAAGUCGGGGGUGAAAGCCUGUGGCUCAACCACAGAAUUGCCUUCGAUACUGUUUGGCUUGAGACCGGAAGAGGUUAGUGGAACUGCGAGUGUAGAGGUGAAAUUCGUAGAUAUUCGCAAGAACACCAGUGGCGAAGGCGGCUGACUGGUCCGGUUCUGACGCUGAGGCGCGAAAGCGUGGGGAGCGAACAGG